CCUUACGAAACAUUUUACGGUGACAAGGUUACUUUGUACUUCACUGAAGACUAGUUUACUAAAUGAAUACCUAUUUUCUUUACUUGUAGACGUAGAAGAGACCAAUUAGCAAUCCUGUAUUGUGUUUUUAUAUUCGCCAUUCCGUCACACAAAAGCUAACAAAAUAAUGGAAACUGAUAAUGUAAACAUUCUCUAUCAGUGUGUGGUAUGUGAAGAGAUUUAUCAACAAUAUGACGAUUUAGAAAAACACAAUAUGAUGCAUGAGAAAAUUGAUGAUGAAGAUGGAUAUUGUCAUGUUACAGAUGAGAAAAGUGAUGAUGUACAUGUAGAUGGGUAUUGUCAUGUUACAGAUGAGAAAAUUGAUGAUGUUGAUAAAGAAGAGAAAACUGAUAAUAUUGAAACUGUUUAUCAGUGUAAUUUGUGUCAUGAAGCAUUUAACUUUGAAACUGAUUUAGAGAAACACUCUGAGAUACAUGUUAAACAGCAAAGGCAAACAGGAGGAAGACCUCAUAAAUGUGAUGUUUGUGGUAAAUCUUUCAGUUUCACCCUUAAUCUACAGAACCACAUGAGAAUUCAUACUGGUGACAAACCUUUUAGAUGUGAUGUUUGUAGGAAAUCAUUUACUCAGAGUAGUCAUCUACAGGUACAUGUCAGAAUUCAUACAGGUGAAAAACCUUAUAAGUGUGAUGUUUGUAGUAAAUCAUUUAGUCAUAGUGGAACUCUACAGAAACAUGUCAGAAUUCAUACAGGUGAAAGGCCUUUUACAUGUAAUGUUUGUUGUAAAUCUUUUAGUCAGACUGGUAAUCUACAGAACCACAUCAGAACUCAUACAGGCCAAAAACGUUUUAAAUGUGAUGUUUGCGAUAAAUCAUUUACACGAAAGUAUGAUCUAAAAUACCACAUGCGAACUCAUAGAGAAAGCAAAACCUGAUAAAUGUUUGCAGCAAAUCAUUCUCUAAAACUGGGGAUCUGCAGCAACACAUUCUUUAAAACUGGGGAUCUGCAGCAACACAUUCUCUAAAACUGGGGAUCUGCAGCAACACAUUCUCUAAAACUGGGGAUCUGCAGCAACACAUUCUCUAAAACUGGGGAUCUGCAGCAACACAUUCUCUAAGACUGGGGAUCUGCAGCAACACAUACUCUAAAACUGGGGAUCUGCAGCAACACAUUCUCUAAAACUGGGGAUCUGCAGCAACACAUUCGAGAAAAUGCUGGAUAAAAGCCUUAUAAAUGUGAUGUUUGCAAAUAGUCAUGUAGUAAUCUCAAAUAGUCAUGUAGUAAUCUCAAAUAGUCAUGUAGUAAUCUCAAAUAGUCAUGUAGUAAUCUAGUAAUCUCAAAUAGUCAUGUAGUAAUCUCAAAUAGUCAUGUAGAAUCUCAAGAGCCACAUGAGAAUGUAUACAGGGGUGAAACCAUUUAAAUGUGAUGUGUGUUGUAAAUCAUUUACUGAUAGUAGUAAUUUAAAUAAACAGUACUGGACCCGAGCACAGUAGUAGUCUUGGUGGUGGACCUGAGCACAGUAGUAGUCUUGGUGGUGGACCCGAGCACAGUAGUAGUCUUGGUGGUGGACCCGAGCACAGUAGUAGUCUCGGUGGUGGACCUGAGCACAGUAGUAGUCUCGGUGGUGGACCCGAGCACAGUAGUAGUCUCGGUGGUGGACCUGAGCACAGUAGUAGUCUCGGUGGUGGACCCGAGCAAUUCUGUUUCAGCAGAGUAGUCGUAAUUAUGUGUGACCAGAAAGUUGGCUAAAGAAUUGCUGUAAUAAAAAUAUUAUAAAUCAAGACAUAAAUAAAAAGAAAUAACAAGA